AGCAGGCGCGGUUGUUAACAUGAACGCAAUACGAAUAAUUUCUAAUACAUUACCACAGUUCGGUGAGAUGUGAGACAAUACACACAUUCCAUCAAUAACAUUAACUUGGGUUAGCAUAUGUCAACAUAACUCUCAAAAAGUGUAAAAUUACUGUAGUACUAAUAUUCAUGAGUCAUGACAAGUCAUUGAAGAGGGCUGUGACCCUCAUUGGCAGUUGUAUGCCAUUUUCUGUGUUGCCCAUGCACUACUAUAGUCUCCAAGGCAGACAAGACGCUCUUCGUGUGGCAGUACUCAA